CUACGGGAUGCUCUAGUGAGGAAUAUUGCACAAUGGGGGGAACCCUGAUGCAGCAACGCCGCGUGGAGGAUGACGCAUUUCGGUGUGUAAACUCCUUUUAUAUGUCAAGAAAAUGACGGUAGCAUAUGAAUAAGCACCGGCUAACUCCGUGCCAGCAGCCGCGGUAAUACGGAGGGUGCAAGCGUUACUCGGAAUCACUGGGCGUAAAGGACGCGUAGGCGGGUUGGAAAGUCAGGUGUGAAAUCCUACAGCUUAACUGUAGAACUGCACUUGAAACUUCUAAUCUAGAGUAUGGGAGGGGGAGGUGGAAUUAGUGGUGUAGGGGUAAAAUCCGUAGAUAUCACUAGGAAUACCUAAAGCGAAGGCGAUCUCCUGGAACAUUACUGACGCUAAGGCGUGAAAGCGUGGGGAGCAAACAGGAUUAGAUACCCGCGUAGUC
rnacentral:rRNA from 1 species